CUGAGACCUGGGAUAUCCAACACUCUUUGUAUAUAACUUACAAGAAAUUUAUCACAUUGUGCUAUACAUGCUUGCCUGAUUGCAUGACUAUCUCUGAAAAGACCAUGAGCACUUUGUGAAAACCUUUAGAACCUGAGUUCCAGAUCCAAUGUAAGAACAUAUUGAAGCAUGUUAUCCAAACCUGGCACUAUGAGUCUCCUAGAAAACUGUUGAGUGGAAAUUCCCUAAAUCAUAGACACAAAAACUUCACACCAAUAACAGGAGUCCUGGUGCCUAGAGGACAGUGAAAUUAUACAACAGCAAGACUAAGGCAUCUGCAAAUCACCGUCUUGAUCCUCUAUCUAUCAGGACAUACACAACUCAGGAAAAAAAGAAUGAUAUUUAAGAGUUGGUCAACAUGAAAAAAGAUGCACAGAGGUAAACUGAGAGACCAGAGAUCAAGAGGAAUAAGAGAAACAGAAGAAAUAGGAAAAAAUGGUUCAUGAAAAAACCUGGUCCACAGGGACUGAGGAUGGAGAAGGAAAUAGCAACUCACUCCAGUGUUCAUGCCUGGGAAAUCCCAUGGACAGAGAGCCUGGUGGGCUACAGUCCAUGGGGUCGCAAAGAGUCAGACACAACUCAGUGACUAAACAACAACAACGGACUGGG
ensembl:lncRNA